rnacentral:rRNA from 1 species
GGACCCGCACAAGCGGUGGAGCAUGUGGUUUAAUUCGACGCAACGCGAGGAACCUUACCAGCGUUUGACAUCUCAAGAAAGCGGAAGAGAUUCUGCCGUGCCCCUUCGGGGGAACUUGAAGACAGGUGGUGCAUGGCUGUCGUCAGCUCGUGUCGUGAGAUGUUGGGUUAAGUCCCGCAACGAGCGCAACCCUUUUCGUAUGUUACCAUCAUUCAGUUGGGGACUCAUGCGAGACUGCCUGGGAUGACCAGGAGGAAGGUGGGGAUGACGUCAAGUCAUCAUGCCCCUUAUAUGCUGGGCUACACACGUGCUACAAUGGGUAGAACAAAGAGAAGCAAAGCCGCGAGGCAGAGCGAAACUCAGAAAACUAUUCUCAGUUCGGAUUGUACUCUGCAACCCGGGGUACAUGAAGUUGGAAUCGCUAGUAAUCGCAAAUCAAGCAAUGUUG